UGGGGAAUUUUGGACAAUGGGGGCAACCCUGAUCCAGCAAUGCCGCGUGAGUGAAGAAGGCCUUCGGGUUGUAAAGCUCUUUUGUCAGGGAAGAAACGGUAGUAGCGAAUAACUAUUACUAAUGACGGUACCUGAAGAAUAAGCACCGGCUAACUACGUGCCAGCAGCCGCGGUAAUACGUAGGGUGCAAGCGUUAAUCGGAAUUACUGAGCGUAAAGCGUGCGCAGGCGGUUGUGUAAGUCAGAUGUGAAAUCCCCGGGCUCAACCUGGGAAUUGCAUUUGAGACUGCACGGCUAGAGUGUGUCAGAGGGGGGUAGAAUUCCACGUGUAGCAGUGAAAUGCGUAGAUAUGUGGAGGAAUACCGAUGGCGAAGGCAGCCCCCUGGGAUAACACUGACGCUCAUGCACGAAAGCGUGGGGAGCAAACAGGAUUAGAUACCCUUGUAGUCCCUGAGCGGGCUGGCAAGGCGCAU
rnacentral:rRNA from 1 species